rnacentral:rRNA from 1 species
GACGAACGCUGGCGGCGUGCCUAAUACAUGCAAGUUGAGCGAUGAAGAUUGGUGCUUGCCCCAAUUUGAAGAGCAGCGAACGGGUGAGUAACGCGUGGGGAAUCUGCCUUUGAGCGGGGGACAACAUUUGGAAACGAAUGCUAAUACCGCAUAAAAACUUUAAACACAAGUUUUAAGUUUGAAAGAUGCAAUUGCAUCACUCAAAGAUGAUCCCGCGUUGUAUUAGCUAGUUGGUGAGGUAAAGGCUCACCAAGGCGAUGAUACAUAGCCGACCUGAGAGGGUGAUCGGCCACAUUGGGACUGAGACACGGCCCAAACUCCUACGGGAGGCAGCAGUAGGGAAUCUUCGGCAAUGGACGAAAGUCUGACCGAGCAACGCCGCGUGAGUGAAGAAGGUUGUCGGAUCGUAAAACUCUGUUGGUAGAGAAGAACGUUGGUGAGAGUGGAAAGCUCAUCAAGUGACGGUAACUACCCAGAAAGGGACGGCUAACUACGUG